GACAGAGGUCCCAAGCGUUAGGCGGAAUCACUGGGCUUAAAGCGUGUGUAGGCGGAUUUGUAAGUACCUUGUGAAAUCCCACGGCUCAACCGUGGAACUGCUUGGUAUACUGCUUAUCUUGGGCCACUUAGGGGUUACCGGAACAAACGGUGGAGCGGUGAAAUGCGUAGAUAUCGUUUGGAACGCCAAUGGUGAAAACAGGUAACUGGGAGUGUGCCGACGCUGAGACACGAAAGCCAGGGGAGCGAACGGG
rnacentral:rRNA from 1 species